rnacentral:rRNA from 1 species
CCUUGACAUACUAAGAACUUUCCAGAGAUGGAUUGGUGCCUUCGGGAACUUAGAUACAGGUGCUGCAUGGCUGUCGUCAGCUCGUGUCGUGAGAUGUUGGGUUAAGUCCCGCAACGAGCGCAACCCUUCCUUAUUUGCCAGCGGGUCAUGCCGGGAACUUUAAGGAUACUGCCAGUGACAAACUGGAGGAAGGCGGGGACGACGUCAAGUCAUCAUGGCCCUUACGGCCAGGGCUACACACGUGCUACAAUGGUCGGUACAAAGGGUUGCUACCUCGCGAGAGGAUGCUAAUCUCAAAAAGCCGAUCGUAGUCCGGAUCGCAGUCUGCAGCUCGACUGCGUGAAGUCGGAAUCGCUAGUAAUCGCGGAUCAGGAUGCCGCGGUGAAUACGUUCCCGGGCCUUGUACACACCGCCCGUCACACCAUGGGAGUUUGUUGCACCAGAAGUAGGUAGUCUAACCGCAAGGAGGACGCUUACCACGGUGUGGCCGAUGACUGGGGUGAAGUCGUAACAAGGUAAGCGUAGAUGA